UACGUAGGCAGCGAGCGUUGUUCGGAAUUACUGGGCGUAAAGAGUGUGUAGGCGGUGCUCUAAGUUCGGUGUGAAAUCUCCUGGCUUAACUGGGAGGGUGCGCCGGAAACUGGAGUGCUCGAGCGUGGGAGAGGAAAGCGGAAGUUCCUGGUGUAGCGGUGAAAUGCGUAGAUAUCAGGAGGAACACCUGUGGUGUAGACGGCUUUUCUGGACCAUAGCUGACGCUGAGACACGAAAGCGUGGGUAGCAAACAGG
rnacentral:rRNA from 1 species